GACGAACGCUGGCGGCGUGCUUAACACAUGCAAGUCGAACGGAAAGGCCCCUUUGGGGGUACUCGAGUGGCGAACGGGUGAGUAACACGUGAGUAACCUGCCCUUGACUUCGGGAUAACUUCAGGAAACUGGGGCUAAUACCGGAUAGGAAUCCUUGCUGCAUGGUGGGGGUUGGAAAGCUUCGGCGGUUUUGGAUGGACUCGCGGCUUAUCAGCUUGUUGGUGGGGUAGUGGCUUACCAAGGCUUUGACGGGUAGCCGGCCUGAGAGGGCGACCGGCCACAUUGGGACUGAGAGACGGCCCAGACUCCUACGGGAGGCAGCAGUGGGGAAUAUUGCACAAUGGGCGGAAGCCUGAUGCAGCAACGCCGCGUGCGGGAUGACGGCCUUCGGGUUGUAAACCGCUUUCAGCAGGGGCGAAGCUUGUGGUGACGUUACCUGCAGAAGAAGCAGCGGCUAACUACGUG
rnacentral:rRNA from 1 species